rnacentral:lncRNA from 1 species
ACAUUUUAUUGCAGCUUAGAUUUGACAAAAUAUGAAAAUGACUUCAAUAAUUAUAAUUGUAAUAUGAAAACACAAUUGCAGCUGAACAGUAAAACUGUAAAAACUAUGGAUGAAAUUAAGCCAUAUUAAACCCUUCAAUUAACCAUAUUUCAAAGAGCUGUUUCUUAUGCCUACCUUUUUAAAAUUAAUAUGCAUUGAAGGAGUUGGUCUUUGCUACACACAAUUACUUGGAAACAUUUUGUAUUCAGCUUAUACUCCUAGCUCCAACAGAAAAUGCUAUGUGAGCUCCAUAUUUUAGCAACACUAUCAAUACAGAGUUCCCAAAUCACAAGAUCUUUUAUUUCAGAUUCUAAUGGUUUAACAAAGUUUAUUGGAUCGAUGACUUCAAAUAACCACAGCUGUCACCAUCAUUUGACCAGCACACCACAAACCAACCACAUCUUCCAGAGAGGAGAAAAAAUAGUCCCACAGUAUACAUAUUAAAAAAAUCGUUUCUAGAGUCAAACCCUGGACAAAAGGGUUUGGGAUCAGCAUGUAUGCUCAUCCAUCUUAAAAAGUAACUGAAUCACAUUAGGCUUUUGCUCCAUAUAAAUAUAUUUUAGAAAUUAUUAUUUGAUCUGAAUGUUAAGAAUAUGAGCAGAACCUGCUGUAUUUAUGUUUGGAAUACAUAAUCAUAUCUUCUAAUUACCUUGUUAUACUGCUUACAAAUGUGUGAUCCUCUCAAGGAUGUACUAAUUUUACAACCAAUCUCAAGGGUCAUGAUACCUGGAAGAUGUUACCAGGCACUUCCACUGAGGGGUUUAUUUCUUCUUUUUUCGCAUUCUUUUAGCACUUGUCAUUUCCCUUACUUUCUGGCAUUUAUUCAAACCUUUCCUUGUGGAUUUGAUUUUUUUUUUUUUUUUUUUUUUUUUUUUUUUUGCCACACCUGUGGCAUGUGGCAAGUUCCCAGGACUGAAAGCUAUGACCCAUCCUUUACACUGGUGACUGAGCAUCUACUCUGAAAUCUAAAGCAUCAUGCAAAUUAUUAGGAAUAUAGAGAAGGACAUGGAAUAGUCUUGACCUUCAAGGAGCUUACGGCCUUUCGAAGAGGAAGUGCUACACAUAAAAACAAAAACAAAAACAAAAAAACCCAACCACAACAAUAACAAAAACCCAGAAAUAUAUAGGGGGAGUAAAGACAAAUCUCCCUUGCAGGAGAUUUUCCAAUAAUUCAUGUAGCUGCUCUGCCCUCAAGGAGAUUGAAUAUAACUCCGCACUACUUAAGUGUGGGCUAUACAUAGUGAUGUCCUUCCAAAGAGGAUAACAUGGAAGAGAGGGAAAGAGUAACUUUACAGUAGAGAAACCAGGCAAACACUACCUCAUUCAG